rnacentral:rRNA from 1 species
AUUGAACGCUGGCGGCAUGCUUUACACAUGCAAGUCGGACGGCAGCACAGAGAAGCUUGCUUCUUGGGUGGCGAGUGGCGAACGGGUGAGUAAUAUAUCGGAACGUACCUAGUAAUGGGGGAUAACUAAUCGAAAGAUUAGCUAAUACCGCAUAUUCUCUGAGGAGGAAAGCAGGGGACCUUCGGGCCUUGCGUUAUUCGAGCGGCCGAUAUCUGAUUAGCUAGUUGGUGGGGUAAAGGCCUACCAAGGCGACGAUCAGUAGCGGGUCUGAGAGGAUGAUCCGCCACACUGGGACUGAGAAACGGCCCAGACUCCUACGGGAGGCAGCAGUGGGGAAUUUUGGACAAUGGGCGCAAGCCUGAUCCAGCCAUGCCGCGUGUCUGAAGAAGGCCUUCGGGUUGUAAAGGACUUUUGUCAGGGAAGAAAAGGCUGUUGCUAAUAUCAAUAGCUGAUGACGGUACCUGAAGAAUAAGCACCGGCUAACUACGUG